rnacentral:rRNA from 1 species
CGGCAACAGCUCAAAUUUGAAAUCUGGCCCCCCUUGGGGGUCCGAGUUGUAAUCUGCAGAGGGUGCCUUGGCAUCGGCGGCGGUCUAAGUUCCUUGGAACAGGACAUCGCAGAGGGUGAGAAUCCCGUACGUGGUCGCCCGCCUUUGCCGUGUAUGGCCCCUUCGAC